CACGAGUUCAGACUCGUGGCGAAUAGCUCAGUAACACGUGGCCAAACUACCCUUCGGAACACAAUACCCUCGGGAAACUGAGGGUAAUAGUGUAUACCAUACCACCACUGGAAUGAGUGGUAUGCCAAACGCUCCGGCGCCGAAGGAUGUGGCUGCGGCCGAUUAGGUAGACGGUGGGGUAACGGCCCACCGUGCCAAUAAUCGGUACGGGUCAUGAGAGUGAGAACCCGGAGACGGAAUCUGAGACAAGAUUCCGGGCCCUACGGGCCGCAGCAGGCGCGAAACCUUUACACUGCACGACAGUGCGAUAGGGGGAUCCCAAGUGCACAGGCAUAGCGCCUGUGCUUUUCGGUACCGUAAGGUGGUACCAGAAUAAGGGCUGGGCAAGACCGGUGCCAGCCGCCGCGGUAAUACCGGCAGCCCAAGUGAUGGCCGAUCUUAUUGGGCCUAAAGCGUCCGUAGCUGGCCGCGCAAGUCCAUCGGGAAAUCCACCUGCUCAACAGGUGGGCGCCCGGUAGAAACUGCGUGGCUUGGGACCGGAAGGCGCGACGGGUACGUCCGGGGUAGGAGUGAAAUCCCGUAAUCCUGGACGGACCGCCGAUGGCGAAAGCACGUCGCGAGAACGGAUCCGACAGUGAGGGACGAAAGCCAGGGUCUCGAACCGGAUUAGAUACCCGGGUAGUCCUGGCCCUAAACAAUGCCUGCUAGGUGUGGCUCCCACUACGAGUGGGUGCUGUGCCCUAGGGAA
rnacentral:rRNA from 1 species